rnacentral:tmRNA from 1 species
GGGGAUGUACCAGAUUCGACGGUGCGGAGGUUCUUGGAGGGUGUAUGCGGCAGGGCCGGCUGCCAUAAAACGGCGAAAAAAUUAAACGACAAAUCCGAAAAAACGGUGAGAACGGCUCCGGUUGCUCUCGCGUUUGCGGCUUAAUUUAAAGCCGUCGUCGGCCCGUCCGGUUCGCUUGGGCGGUGUCCGGUGUCAGUUUAGGCGAAGCACAUUGCGCGAAUUUUAGGCUUUUCAAUCCGCGUGAGGACAAAAAAAGCCUCGCGGGCGGCGGUUGUUUCUUCCCAAAGCCCGUUAAACCUUAAAAGGAAAUAAGCAUAUAGAGCCUUUUCGAAUGUCCAUAUCGGACGCGGGUGCAACUCCCGCCAUCUCCACCA